rnacentral:rRNA from 1 species
GACGAACGCUGGCGGCGUGCUUAACACAUGCAAGUCGAACGGAAAGGCCCUGCUUUUGUGGGGUGCUCGAGUGGCGAACGGGUGAGUAACACGUGAGUAACCUGCCCUUGACUUUGGGAUAACUUCAGGAAACUGGGGCUAAUACCGGAUAGGAGCUCCUGCUGCAUGGUGGGGGUUGGAAAGUUUCGGCGGUUGGGGAUGGACUCGCGGCUUAUCAGCUUGUUGGUGGGGUAGUGGCUUACCAAGGCUUUGACGGGUAGCCGGCCUGAGAGGGUGACCGGCCACAUUGGGCCUGAGAUACGGCCCAGACUCCUACGGGAGGCAGCAGUGGGGAAUAUUGCACAAUGGGCGGAAGCCUGAUGCAGCAACGCCGCGGGCGGGAUGACGGCCUUCGGGUGGUAAACCGCUUUCGCCUGUGACGAAGCGUGAGUGACGGUAAUGGGUAAAGAAGCACCGGCUAACUACGUG